UUUAAGUGCAACCAUGAGUUUCUGUGUGCAACUUUGAUUACCCGUCUUAUUUGAAUUUUUCUUAUAAUUAGUAUUUUUAUUGUUAUAAGAUGAUAAAACAUAAAUAAUAAUUUAUGCGUGACUUAUGUUCUCAAAUUUUUUUAAAUAAGACGGAUGGUUAAAAUUGGGUACGGAAAAUUAUGGCUGCAUUUAUA
rfam:Oryza nivara chromosome 8, whole genome shotgun sequence.